rnacentral:ncRNA from 1 species
CCGGCCACGGGACGCGAUGAACCUCGGAUCGCACGACGGUCGCCACCUGUGCAUCCUGACAGGAGGUCCGAGGGGAGCGAGUGGCGAGACCGCCCCGAACCGA